rnacentral:rRNA from 1 species
GUCCACGCCCUAAACGAUGUCAACUGGUUGUUGGACGGCUUGCUGUUCAGUAACGAAGCUAACGCGUGAAGUUGACCGCCUGGGGAGUACGGCCGCAAGGUUGAAACUACAAAGGAAUUGACGGGGACCCGGCCACAAGCGGUGGAUGAUGUGGUUUAAUUUCGAUGCAACGCGAAAACCUUAACCUACCCUUCGACAUGUCAAGAAUUUUGUCAGAGAUGUGAAAGUAGCUCGAAAGAGAACUUGAACACAGGUGCUGCAUGGCCGUCGU